AACAGGAUUAGAUACCCUGGUAGUCCACGCUGUAAACGGUGGGUACUAGGUGUGGGGUCCAUUCCACGGGUUCCGUGCCGUAGCUAACGCUUUAAGUACCCCGCCUGGGGAGUACGGCCGCAAGGCUAAAACUCAAAGGAAUUGACGGGGCCCCGCACAAGCGGCGGAGCAUGCGGAUUAAUUCGAUGCAACGCGUAGAACCUUACCUGGGUUUGACAUGGAUCGGGAGUGCUCAGAGAUGGGUGUGCCUCUUUUGGGGUCGGUUCACAGGUGGUGCAUGGCUGUCGUCAGCUCGUGUCGUGAGAUGUUGGGUUAAGUCCCGCAACGAGCGCAACCCUUGUUCACUGUUGCCAGCACGUUAUGGUGGGGACCCAGUGGAGACCGCCGGGGUCAACUCGGAGGAAGGUGGGGAUGACGUCAAGUCAUCAUGCCCCUUAUGUCCAGGGCUUCACGCAUGCUACAAUGGCUGGUACAGAGAGUGGCGAGCCUGUGAGGGUGAGCGAAUCUCGGAAAGCCGGUCUCAGUUCGGAUUGGGGUCUGCAACUCGACCUCAUGAAGUCGGAGUCGCUAGUAAUCGCAGAUCAGCAACGCUGCGGUGAAUACGUUCCCGGGGCUUGUACACACCGCCCGUCAAGUCAUGAAAGUUGGUAACACCCGAAGCCGGUGGCCUAACCGUUGUGGGGGAGCCGUCGAAGGUGGGACUGGUGAUUAGGACUAAGUCGUAACAAGGUAACC
rnacentral:rRNA from 1 species